rnacentral:rRNA from 1 species
UAGGGAAUCUUCGGCAAUGGGGGCAACCCUGACCGAGCAACGCCGCGUGAGUGAAGAAGGUUUUCGGAUCGUAAAGCUCUGUUGUAAGAGAAGAACGUGUGUGAGAGUGGAAAGUUCACACAGUGACGGUAACUUACCAGAAAGGGACGGCUAACUACGUGCCAGCAGCCGCGGUAAUACGUAGGUCCCGAGCGUUGUCCGGAUUUAUUGGGCGUAAAGCGAGCGCAGGCGGUUUAAUAAGUCUGAAGUUAAAGGCAGUGGCUUAACCAUUGUUCGCUUUGGAAACUGUUAAACUUGAGUGCAGAAGGGGAGAGUGGAAUUCCCUGUGUAGCGGUGAAAUGCGUCGAUAUAUGGAAGAACACCGAUGGCGAAAGCGGCUCUCUGGUCUGUAACUGACGCUGAGGCUCGAAAGCGUGGGGAGCAAACAGG